AAGUCGUAACAAGGUUUCCGUAAGUUUUUAAUCUUCCCUCGGAGAUUUGCCCAAAUGACCCCCAAUACUAACAGCCCUUUUAGGUAGGUGAACCUGCGGAAGGAUCAUUAAAGGUUGCUAGCCCGGGGUACCCCCCCGGUGUUACGCUUCAAACCCAAAUGUCUAUCGUUUAAGAAAAACCUUUUUUUAAACUCCAGAUCAUGGAUUUAUCAAAAACAAAUUAUUAAAAACUUUCAACAACGGAUCUCUUGGGACAC
rnacentral:misc_RNA from 1 species